rnacentral:rRNA from 1 species
UUGAACGCUGGCGGCAGGCCUAACACAUGCAAGUCGAACGGUAACAGGAAGAAGCUUGCUUCUUUGCUGACGAGUGGCGGACGGGUGAGUAAUGUCUGGGAAACUGCCUGAUGGAGGGGGAUAACUACUGGAAACGGUAGCUAAUACCGCAUAACGUCGCAAGACCAAAGAGGGGGACCUUCGGGCCUCUUGCCAUCGGAUGUGCCCAGAUGGGAUUAGCUUGUUGGUGGGGUAACGGCUCACCAAGGCGACGAUCCCUAGCUGGUCUGAGAGGAUGACCAGCCACACUGGAACUGAGACACGGUCCAGACUCCUACGGGAGGCAGCAGUGGGGAAUAUUGCACAAUGGGCGCAAGCCUGAUGCAGCCAUGCCGCGUGUAUGAAGAAGGCCUUCGGGUUGUAAAGUACUUUCAGCGGGGAGGAAGGGAGUAAAGUUAAUACCUUUGCUCAUUGACGUUACCCGCAGAAGAAGCACCGGCUAACUCCGUGCCAGCAGCCGCGGUAAUACGGAGGGUGCAAGCGUUAAUCGGAAUUACUGGGCGUAAAGCGCACGCAGGCGGUUUGUUAAGUCAGAUGUGAAAUCCCCGGGCUCAACCUGGGAACUGCAUCUGAUACUGGCAAGCUUGAGUCUCGUAGAGGGGGGUAGAAUUCCAGGUGUAGCGGUGAAAUGCGUAGAGAUCUGGAGGAAUACCGGUGGCGAAGGCGGCCCCCUGGACGAAGACUGACGCUCAGGUGCGAAAGCGUGCGGAGCAAACAGGAUUAGAUACCCUGGUAGUCCACGCCGUAAACGAUGUCGACUUGGAGGUUGUGCCCUUGAGGCGUGGCUUCCGGAGCUAACGCGUUAAGUCGACCGCCUGGGGAGUACGGCCGCAAGGUUAAAACUCAAAUGAAUUGACGGGGGCCCGCACAAGCGGUGGAGCAUGUGGUUUAAUUCGAUGCAACGCGAAGAACCUUACCUGGUCUUGACAUCCACAGAACUUUCCAGAGAUGGAUUGGUGCCUUCGGGAACUGUGAGACAGGUGCUGCAUGGCUGUCGUCAGCUCGUGUUGUGAAAUGUUGGGUUAAGUCCCGCAACGAGCGCAACCCUUAUCCUUUGUUGCCAGCGGUCCGGCCGGGAACUCAAAGGAGACUGCCAGUGAUAAACUGGAGGAAGGUGGGGAUGACGUCAAGUCAUCAUGGCCCUUACGACCAGGGCUACACACGUGCUACAAUGGCGCAUACAAAGAGAAGCGACCUCGCGAGAGCAAGCGGACCUCAUAAAGUGCGUCGUAGUCCGGAUUGGAGUCUGCAACUCGACUCCAUGAAGUCGGAAUCGCUAGUAAUCGUGGAUCAGAAUGCCACGGUGAAUACGUUCCCGGGCCUUGUACACACCGCCCGUCACACCAUGGGAGUGGGUUGCAAAAGAAGUAGGUAGCUUAACCUUCGGGAGGGCGCUUACCACUUUGUGAUUCAUGACUGGGGUG